CCCCUCUCAGGGUCUCAUCUGGACAGUUUUCAGUACUCUAUCAGUGACUACAGGAGGGAGAGUCAAGCAGAAGCAUAUCCAUUCCAUUCCUAGCUUCAUCAGUGGCUAGUGAGUGGAAGACAAUCUGCUACAAAU
rfam:Ornithorhynchus anatinus chromosome 4, whole genome shotgun sequence.